rnacentral:rRNA from 1 species
AGGCAUGUGGAGUUAAUUCGAUGCAACGCGAAGAACCUUACCUGGGUUUGACAUACACCGGAAAACCGUAGAGAUACGGUCCCCCUUGUGGUCGGUGUACAGGUGGUGCAUGGCUGUCGUCAGCUCGUGUCGUGAGAUGUUGGGUUAAGUCCCGCAACGAGCGCAACCCUUGUCUUAUGUUGCCAGCACGUGAUGGUGGGGACUCGUAAGAGACUGCCGGGGUCAACUCGGAGGAAGGUGGGGACGACGUCAAGUCAUCAUGCCCCUUAUGUCCAGGGCUUCACACAUGCUACAAUGGCCAGUACAGAGGGCUGCGAGACCGUGAGGUGGAGCGAAUCCCUUAAAGCUGGUCUCAGUUCGGAUCGGGGUCUGCAACUCGACCCCGUGAAGUCGGAGUCGCUAGUAAUCGCAGAUCAGCAACGCUGCGGUGAAUACGUUCCCGGGCCUU